GACAACCUUAGACAGAAGCAUGGGACCCCAUUUCGAAAUCCCUCCGGCAAGCCUCGGAGCAUUUGUGACAAUCUUCAUGCUGGCAAGCCUCGUGUUGUAUGAUCGUUGCUUUGUCCCAAUAGCUAGACACUACACAAAAAACCCAAGAGGGAUUACUAUGCUGCAAAGAAUGGGGAUUGGUAUUAUCUUGCAUAUUAUUGUCAUGAUCGUAGCUUUCGUAGUUGAAAGGAAAAGACUCAGUGUUGCAAGAGAACAUAAUAUUGUAGGCAAACUAGAAGUAGUGCCUCUCAGCAUUUUUGUACUCCUACCUCAGUUUGCUUUAGUAGGGAUUUCUGAUACGUUCUUGGAAGUAGCCAAGCUAGAGUUUUUCUAUGACCAGGCCCCGGAAGGAAUGAAAAG
rnacentral:lncRNA from 1 species